rnacentral:rRNA from 1 species
GAACGCGAAGAACCUUACCCGGGCUUGAAUUGCAGAGGAAGGAUUUAGAGAUAAUGACGCCCUUCGGGGCCUCUGUGAAGGUGCUGCAUGGUUGUCGUCAGCUCGUGCCGUGAGGUGUCGGCUUAAGUGCCAUAACGAGCGCAACCCCUCUCUUCAGUUGCCAUCAGGUUAAGCUGGGCACUCUGGAGACACUGCCACCGUAAGGUGUGAGGAAGGUGGGGAUGACGUCAAAUCAGCACGGCCCUUACGUCCGGGGCUACACACGUGUUACAAUGGCCGGUACAGAGGGAUGGUGUAAUGCAAAUUGCAUCAAAUCUUGAAAGCCGGUCCCAGUUCGGACUGGGGUCUGCAACCCGACCCCACGAAGCUGGAUUCGCUAGUAAUCGCGCAUCAGCCAUGGUGCGGUGAAUACGUUCCCGGGUCUUGUACACACC